CCGGGAGUCGGGCGGACGUUUGCGCCCGUUAACCUGGUCAGGUCCGGAAGGAAGCAGCCAUACCGGAUUGCGACGGGUCGUUCGGCUCCUUUUUU
rnacentral:SRP_RNA from 1 species